UACGUAGGGUGCAGGCGUUAAUCGGAAUUACUGGGCGUAAAGCGUGCGCAGGCGGUUUGCUAAGACAGGUGUGAAAUCCCCCGGGCUUAACCUGGGAACUGCGCUUGUUACUGGCAAGCUUGAGUGCGGCAGAGGGGGGAUGGAAUUCCGCGUGUAGCAGUGAAAUGCGUAGAUAUGCGGAGGAACACCGAUGGCGAAGGCAGCCCCCCUGGGCUAACACUGACGCUCAUGCACGAAAGCGUGGGGAGCAAACAGG
rnacentral:rRNA from 1 species